GAUGAACGCUAGCGACAGGCCUAACACAUGCAAGUCGAGGGGCAUCGGGACGUAGCAAUACGUUGCCGGCGACCGGCGGAUGGGUGAGUAACGCGUAUGCAACCUACCCGUAGCAGGGGGAUAGCCCGUUGAAAGACGGAUUAAUACCCCGUAACACAGGGGCUCCGCAUGGAGAUUAUUGUUAAAGGGUCAUUUCUUUUUCAGGGAUGGUCCGGCUGCGGAUGGGCAUGCGUUCCAUUAGGUAGUUGGUGUAGGUAGCUGCUCACCAAGCCGACGAUGGAUAGGGGAACUGAGAGGUUGGUCCCCCACACUGGUACUGAGACACGGACCAGACUCCUACGGGAGGCAGCAGUGAGGAAUUUUGGUCAAUGGACGCAAGUCUGAACCAGCCAUGUCGCGUGAAGGAGGACGGCCCUAAGGGUUGUAAACUUCUUUUGCAGUGGAAUAAAGUUUGCCACGUGUUGGCGAUUUGCAAGUACGCUGCGAAUAAGGAUCGGCUAACUCCGUGCCAGCAGCCCGCGGUAAUACGGAGGAUCCAGGCGUUAUCCGGAUUUAUUGGGUUUAAAGGGUGCGCAGGCGGGGAAUUA
rnacentral:rRNA from 1 species